rnacentral:tRNA from 1 species
AGUAGCUUAAUUGUUAAAGCUUUGGAUUCUUACUCGUGGGAUGUUGUUUGACUUCUUCCGGAG